rnacentral:lncRNA from 1 species
UUUUAUUUAUUCAUAAAAAUACCAAAAAAUAUUUUUCACAUUUAUUAAUGUUUUAUUUAAUUUAUUCUAAUUUUUAUUUUCAUAUUUAUUUAUUGUUAAUAUUUUAUUUUAAUUAUUUAUUUCAAAUGGUUCAUUUUGACACACAUUUUUUUAUUAUUUUUAUUUACAUGACUUAGAAUUAUUUUUAACUUCUGAUUUUUGGGAUGAGGGUUGACCAAUGU